UACGUAGGGUGCAAGCGUUGUCCGGAAUUAUUGGGCGUAAAGAGCUCGUAGGUGGCCUGUCGCGUCGGCUGUGAAAACUCGGGGCUCAACUCCGAGCUUGCAGUCGAUACGGGCAGGCUAGAGUUCGGCAGGGGAGACUGGAAUUCCUGGUGUAGCGGUGAAAUGCGCAGAUAUCAGGAGGAACACCGGUGGCGAAGGCGGGUCUCUGGGCCGGAACUGACGCUGAGGAGCGAAAGCGUGGGGAGCGAACAGG
rnacentral:rRNA from 1 species